rnacentral:rRNA from 1 species
UGUGACUGCGUACCUUUUGUAUAAUGGGUCAGCGACUUAUAUUCUGUAGCAAGGUUAACCGUAUAGGGGAGCCGAAGGGAAACCGAGUCUUAAUUGGGCGUUAAGUUGCAGGGUAUAGACCCGAAACCCGGUGAUCUAGCCAUGGGCAGGUUGAAGGUUGGGUAACACUAACUGGAGGACCGAACCGACUAAUGUUGAAAAAUUAGCGGAUGACCUGUGGCUGGGGGUGAAAGGCCAAUCAAACCGGGAGAUAGCUGGUUCUCCCCGAAAGCUAUUUAGGUAGCGCCUCGUGAAUUCAUCUCCGGGGGUAGAGCACUGUUUCGGCUAGGGGGCCAUCCCGGCUUACCAACCCGAUGCAAACUGCGAAUACCGGAGAAUGUUAUCACGGGAGACACACGGCGGGUGCUAACGUCCGUCGUGAAGAGGGAAACAACCCAGACCGCCAGCUAAGGUCCCAAAGUCAUGGUUAAGUGGGAAACGAUGUGGGAAGGCCCAGACAGCCAGGAUGUUGGCUUAGAAGCAGCCAUCAUUUAAAGAAAGCGUAAUAGCUCACUGGUCGAGUCGGCCUGCGCGGAAGAUGUAACGGGGCUAAACCAU